ACGGGACCCGCACAAGCAGAGGAGCGCGUGGUUUAAUUCGACGGCAAUCGAAGAACCUUACCAGGGUUUGAAAUGUAUCUGCAUGCCCUAUGAAAAUAGGGAGGCCUUCGAGGGUGAUACACAGGUGCUGCAUGGCCGCCGUCAGCUCGUGUCGUGAGAUGUAGGGUUAAGUCCCGAAACGAGCGCAACCCCUAUUCUAUGUUACAAGUGUCUUAGAAAACCGCCUCGGUAAAACGAGGAGGAAGUGGGGAUGACGUCUGGUCCGCAUAGCCCUUAUGUCCUGGGCUACACACGCGCUACAAUGGCCGAUACAGUAGGAAGCCAAAUCGUAAGAUGGAGCUAAUCCUUAAAGUCGGUCUCAGUUCGGAUUGAGGUCUGAAAUUCGACCUCAUGAAGUUGGAUUUGCUAGUAAUCGUAGAUCAGCAAUGCCACGGUGAAUACGUUCUCGGGUCUU
rnacentral:rRNA from 1 species